rnacentral:lncRNA from 1 species
CUCCUCCACACUUCCUUCUCAGCCCCCAAAUCGGUGCUCCUUCCAAGUUGGUUGAUCAGAUUUAUUUGUUCACUUUGGGUGGGGGGCAGAGGGAGAGGGAGAGAGAGUCCCAAGCAGACUCCGCACUGAGCAGAGAGCCUCACUUGGGGCUCGAUCCCACCACCCUGAGAUUGUAACCUGAGCCAUAGGCAAGAGUCAGAUGCUCAACCACCUGAAUCAUCC